rnacentral:rRNA from 1 species
GAGACCUACACUCACAAUUGCUAACUGGCUCAGUGACAGAGCACAUCGUGAGGACUGCCCCUGAAAAGGGGAGGAAGGUGUAGGCUACGGUAGGUCUGUAUGCUCCGAAUCCUCUGGGCUACACGCGCGCAACAAUGGCAGAAACAAAGGGAUGCAACUCCGAAAGGAGAAGCUAAUCCUCCAAAUUCUGUCUUAGUCCGGAUUGAGGGUUGUAACUCACCCUCAUGACGCUGGAAUCCCUAGUAAUCAGAUUUUAUCAGAGUCUGGUGAACAU